UACGGGGGGAGCAAGCGUUGUUCGGAUUUACUGGGCGUAAAGGGCGCGUAGGCGGCUGAACAAGUCAAAGGUGAAAUCCCUCGGCUCAACUGAGGAACUGCCUUUGAAACUGUUCGGCUUGAGGCCGGGAGGGGGUAGCGGGAAUUCCCAGUGUAGCGGUGAAAUGCGUAGAUAUUGGGAGGAACACCAGUGGCGAAGGCGGCUACCUGGACCGGUUCUGACGCUGAGGCGCGAAAGCGUGGGUAGCAAACAGG
rnacentral:rRNA from 1 species